rnacentral:rRNA from 1 species
AUUGAACGCUGGCGGCAGGCCUAACACAUGCAAGUCGAACGGUAACAGGAAGAAGCUUGCUUCUUUGCUGACGAGUGGCGGACGGGUGAGUAAUGUCUGGGAAACUGCCUGAUGGAGGGGGAUAACUACUGGAAACGAUAGCUAAUACCGCAUAACGUCGCAAGACCAAAGAGGGGGACCUUCGGGCCUCUUGCCAUCGGAUGUGCCCAGAUGGGAUUAGCUAGUAGGUGGGGUAACGGCUCACCUAGGCGACGAUCCCUAGCUGGUCUGAGAGGAUGACCAGCCACACUGGAACUGAGACACGGUCCAGACUCCUACGGGAGGCAGCAGUGGGGAAUAUUGCACAAUGGGCGCAAGCCUGAUGCAGCCAUGCCGCGUGUAUGAAGAAGGCCUUCGGGUUGUAAAGUACUUUCAGCGGGGAGGAAGGGAGUAAAGUUAAUACCUUUGCUCAUUGACGUUACCCGCAGAAGAAGCACCGGCUAACUCCGUG